UACAUUAGAUACCCCUGUAGUCCCAGCCGUAAACUAUGCUCGCUAGGUGUCAGGCAUGGCGCGACCGUGUCUGGUGCCGCAGGGAAGCCGUGAAGCGAGCCACCUGGGAAGUACGGCCGCAAGGCUGAAACUUAAAGGAAUUGGCGGGGAGCACCACAACGGGUGGAGCCUGCGGUUUAAUUGGACUCAACGCCGGGAAGCUCACCGGAUAAGACAGCGGAAUGAUUGCCGGGCUGAAGACUCUGCAUGACUAGCUG
rnacentral:rRNA from 1 species